GCCAUGGUGGUGGAGUGGUUAAAUGUUCAGCUGCUAACUGAAAGGUCAGUGGUUUGAAUCCACCAGUGGCU
rnacentral:tRNA from 1 species